rnacentral:misc_RNA from 1 species
AAGAGCCGGCCGGCGACGGAACUGGGCCGAGAAGUUGUGUGCUUUAACUGCAAUUUCUUUGUAAUCCUCAAUCCGAAUUUCUCGGCUACUCUCUGAAUUUCGCGAAGAUGGUGAGUAUAGCAGAGGAGGCCGAGUUGAAUAGACUCGAAACCCAGGUCGAUAAUGGUGGUGGAGGUGCUUGGGAGUAUCUUUGCCUCGUCAGGAAGCUCAAGGUUCGCCGUUCUCACAAGGUCUUAAACUAUGGAUUAUCGAUCUUGAAUGAUUCCAGAAAGCGAUCCGGUCUCGGCCAAGAGGAAUGGACCCUGUACGAACAGGUAGCUAUCGCAGCAUUGGAUUGCCAAGCUAUAGAUGUUGCGAAGGAUUGCAUAAAAGUUCUUCAGAAGAAAUUUCCACAGAGUAAAAGAGUUGGGAGGCUAGA